rnacentral:rRNA from 1 species
UACGGAAGGCAGCAGUGGGGAAUAUUGCACAAUGGGCGAAAGCCUGAUGCAGCUAUGCCGCGUGUAUGAAGAAGGCCUUAGGGUUGUAAAGUACUUUCAUCGGGGAGGAAAAACAAAACUAAUAAUUUUAUUUCUUGACGUUACCCGAAAAAGAAGCACCGGCUAACUCCGUGCCAGCAGCCGCGGUAAUACGGAGGGUGCUAGCGUUAAUCAGAAUUACUGGGCGUAAAGAGCACGUAGGUGGUUUUUUUAAGUCAGAUGUGAAAUCCCUGGGCUUAACCUAGGAACUGCAUUUUGAAACUGAAAUACUAGAGUAUCGUAGAGGGAGGUAGAAUUCUAGGUGUAGCGGUGAAAUGCGUAGAUAUCUGGAGGAAUACCUGUGGCGAAAGCGGCCUCCUAAACGAAUACUGACACUGAGGUGCGAAAGCGUGGGGAGCAAACAGGGAUUACAUACC